rnacentral:tRNA from 1 species
GCCUUUUUGGCUCAGUGGAUAGAGCUUAGGACUACGGCCUGAAGGGUCCGGGUUUGAUUCCCGUCAAGGGCA